rnacentral:rRNA from 1 species
GAUGAACGCUGGCGGCGUGCUUACACAUGCAAGUCGAGCGAAGCGGCUGAAUUGAUUCUUCGGAUGAUUUUCAGUUGACUGAGCGGCGGACGGGUGAGUAACGCGUGGGUGACCUGCCCCAUACCGGGGGAUAACAGCUGGAAACGGCUGCUAAUACCGCAUAAGCGCACAGAGCUGCAUGGCUCGGUGUGAAAAACUCCGGUGGUAUGGGAUGGGCCCGCGUCUGAUUAGGCAGUUGGCGGGGUAACGGCCCACCAAACCGACGAUCAGUAGCCGGCCUGAGAGGGCGACCGGCCACAUUGGGACUGAGACACGGCCCAAACUCCUACGGGAGGCAGCAGUGGGGAAUAUUGCACAAUGGGGGAAACCCUGAUGCAGCGACGCCGCGUGAGCGAAGAAGUAUUUCG